CAAAGUAUAUUUUAUACGCAAUGGGAUCGUUUGCGUACGUUUGCCGCUAGGGGCGCUGUUCCAACUGAAUACAAAAUUGGGUUA
rnacentral:pre_miRNA from 1 species